AGAUCAAGUGUUAAUUUAUCCAAAAGACUUGUAUUAAAGUAGAAUCCAUUCUGUUUCAGGAAAAGAACUUCAGAAUGCUUGAGAAAUUUAACACAUCUGCUCGUGUUUUAUAUAACUUUCUGGACUCUUCAAUGAACGAUUGCAACUUUAUAACACUGUGUGGAAAGAUAAACCAGUAUGGCAGAAGAUUAAACAUAUUGUGAACUACCUGACUACCAGUGUCCACACAGCUCUAGUGUGUAUUUUUGGUCGUGUUCCAAAAUCGUAUGUAUUUUUGGUCGUGUUCCAAAAUCGUAUGCAUCCAUCUGUGGCUCCUCCACCAGAUGCAAGAAGCCCAUGGAGAUGAGGUGGCCAGGCAAUAGCUUUAAUAGCUGCUCUGUGCUCAGUAUUCUUCAGUGCUGGUUUUACUGAAUGCGGAUUCCAAACAAAAAGCUGCAACAAGAAACAUGAGUGCAGAAUAAAUAUCAUUCUGAAGUCCUUAUAACAAUGCACUCAAAAGUGAUGGAAACAUAUGGAACAGCAACUUAUUCUUUUGUCAUUGCCACCAGAUGCAAGCUGCCGGUCAUCAUAAGACCACUUGAGCCCACAAACCUGGAAAAUGUGUGUGAAAAUAAGAAGCCAUACAUGAGUAAAACGAAGCUCCCUUAGGAUUAUCCAUAUACUGAAAAAAACCAACAAAAAUGGUGCAAUUAUAUAUAUAGCGUGCAAAUUAUAUGGAGAUUCUUGAGUUGGUGGUGAAAGGCUCUUCGAGUUGUACCUAAAGAGUGGCGCAAAGGUCUGAAUUCUUUGGUUAUCUUAGUAGCCUGGGAAAUCUGGAAGCACAGGAACUCUUGUGUGUUUGAACAUACAAGGCCAAGCAUUCCAGGUUUGCUCAGGACAGUGGCUGAUGAGUGCAGUUUGUGGGGAAUGGCUGGAGUUUGUAAACUCCAGGAAUUCCUUGCCUGGUUGCUGUCCAUAGUCGAUUAAGCUAUGGUUUUUUGUUUGCUAGGUCGAUCUGUGAGUCUUUGGUGGCACGCCUGUAAGCUAGUGGCGUGUGUGGGUGUGGUGUGAGUCUUUGUACUCGGGUCCGGCUUUGGCUAGAACCCUUGUUCUCUUUUUUCUACCUUAAUGAAACGACACUCAGGACGCAGCUGUCCUGUGUUGUUCAAGAAAAAAAAAGAUAGGAAUACAUCACCUCAGAUUUAUGUGCAGUAAGAUUGCUAACUUAAUCUUCUUUAGCACGGAUAUCAUGGUGAAGGAUGCUCUUGUCACGACUGCCAGAAGAAAGUAACGAAGAACCCCAUGCAAGAGCACCUACACGCAUACGAUGGCUUUCCAUUGUUCUGAUUCUUUUAGAGCGAGUUACAUCCCAUAUCUACAUAAGAUAAAAGAUAGUGUGGCAAUUAGAUUUCCAGACAAUCUCAGCAGUGAUGAAGAAUUUCAUAGAAUACCAGAAGCAUCAAGGGAAAAGAAUCUAUAGAGGUACCAUAAACCAAAUACAUACUGCCUACUGAUGAGGUGGUAGUAGUAUUGCAGAACGUUCAAAUUUCAACAACUAUAGCAUAUAACUGAAAUUUUGUUAAUGUUUGCAUUGCAUUGUGAUAAAAUAGUUCAGAGAGUCAUGCUUAGGCUAAGAAUCAUGAACAUGCCAUCUGAUAAUUUAAGAUAGGAGCAUGAUGUAACCUGAACUUUGCCCUGCUUUGUCCCUACAGCUAGAUGAGUGCCAGGCUGCGCCCAUCCCACGGAACAAACAUCAUCAUCCUCCCCCAAAUCGCAUAGCUUGGUAACCUGCAUUGCGAUAAACACAUUCACAUUCCACCUUCAAUUGUCAGAAGAGGAAAUCAUGCAAGAACACCAUGGUUGCUCACCUUAUCUCUGCUUGCAUCCAACAAGUAGAUAAUAUUCCCCAAUCCGACAGCAAGUGCGUUUUGUGACGACCAAUCCAGCAGGUUCCGGUAGAAGUCAUCCUGCAUUGUGGGCGCAUCCAGAAUCUAUAAAAGAAACAGCAAGAAAAUUACCACUUUUUAAGCAUGAACCUUCAAAUUGACAUCGCACUCUUGAAAAUCCAAGUCUUUAUGCAUUAUUACAGAAGCUUGAAACAAAGUAAUUGAAGAAAGAUCAAAUCUUGCACAUCCCUAGCGUCGCCAAAGACUCGAUCCAAGGAACCCAAAUCAAGAAACAGGUCCAAUCAAGAAAGCAACAAAAUCGAGUCUAGUGCCCUCUUCUCACCUUGUAAGGCGUUCUUGGGAUCUUCCUGGGCCUGGCGCCCCUCGCCGUGGAAAUCCCAGCGAACAGCUGUUCCUCCUCGUCCCCGCCCCCGAAGAGUGCCCUCUUUGCCCUCCGGGGCACCGCCUCCGCCUUGAACUUGAAUAUGUUCCCACUCCCGGGAGUCCCCACUUCCACUGGCGACGCCGACGACGAUGGGGAGGAGGACGACGAUGAGCACGCGGUGGCCGAGGACGCCACCCGAUCGGGCGUGGCGGGCCAGAACAGUGCGGCGCUCAGGAGCUCGCAGUACGGGGAUGGUACGGCAGGGGUUGCGAGGUCGAAGAGCGCGAGGUUGGAUCUGGAGCGGCUAGGGAUGAAGCGGUCGCUGUAGACGGUGUGGGAGGCGACGGAGUGGGAAGGGUGCGGUGGCAUGGCGGAGAGGCCAGAGGGCGGCGCGGGGGCGAGGUGCGCGUUGGGCAUGGAGGCCGCUGCCGUGUUCUCGAUCGGCGGCGGCAUCAGGUGCGGGUGAAGGAUUUGAGAGGCGGGAACGGCGGCGGGUUGGGAAGGGGAACGGGGAUCGGCGGCGGUUCAAAGGCGCGGCAAUUUUUGCCGUUGCUGCACCGGUGCACGUGCGCGCCCCCGCGCUUUUCCUCUUGCCAAUUUUGGGUUUUCUUUCGUGGUGUGCCAAUGACAUCGAUGACGGCUCCUUGAACACAGGUGAAAAAACGAUCAAACAAACGAACAAAGGGCACAUGAUACUCGUAUAAGCCCUCUGUUCAGGUUCUGGGAAAAAUAAAACCGCAAUCAGUUCAGGUUGAUUCAUCAUUCGUCCAUCUUAACUGGUUCUUUUCAUUUCCCUUGACCAUUUGGAAAUUGUAGUCAAUGCUUAUCAUUGAACAGGUCCUUCACCAUGUCGUCGGUUUGCAAGUUGCAACACUAUCCAGCUUCAAGAUCUAGGUUAAGAUUAUAUUUAUUUUAAAUUGUAAACUAAAUGAUUCAUCUAAAAGCUCUAGACGGACCUUUUAGAGUUAUAUAUAACACUUAUAAUAAGAAGAAGAAAUCUUUCUUGAUAUCAAUCCCCUUCCCCUCAAUCUUUGAGAAUCAGAAGGACUCUUCCUAGGCUAUGCUCGCUCGUCUACGCUCCAACCAAUUUAGCCGAACUGUCUCACAACGUUCUAAACCCAACUCAUGUACCACCCUCCUAACUUGUGGUAUCAUAGAUUCUUAGGAGUGAUGAGUUACUUCACAAACAACUGCAAGUGAUCCAUAGAUUUUCUGGAGCCGACGCUAUACCAAAUGGAGUCUAAAAUUAUUUAACGGAAAGCUUGUAAAUAUAUCGAAUGAUAUAUUAGUUGUGCAGUGCUUGUGCUUAUGCCCAAAGUAUUUCUCAAAUGGAAUAAAAGAGUUAUCGAUAACUUGAAUAAAAAGGGAUAAUGGUCUUUCACAGAGCAAAAUUUGUCUAGGAUACUAAUAACACCUGAAGACCAGGUUGUGUUCUCACUCAGACUGUAUUUUAUAAAUUUCUCAUACGGUCGAAGAGCAUUUUAUUCUAUUUUAUUAUAUAGAUCUCUAUAGGAACAUUUAUUUAUUUAUGCUUUAAAUAUUCCUCCAUCCUUUCUAAAAUAUAGAUUGUUUUAGUUUUGUCCAAUAUUGAUUUUCUCUCACUCCCACCAAGUUUGUAAAAAAACAUAUAUUAACAUCUACAAAGUAAAAAAAUGCAUAAAUAAAAACACAUCUUAUGAUGGAUUUAACUGAUCAUGUGUUUUCACCACUCACAUCUUGUUAGGAAGAAGCUUAUUUUCACAUCUAGCAUGUUGUUGAUAUUCUUCCCUAACCGUUCCUCGUGGGUAUCAUGUGUUAGAGGAUGUAACAAAGUUAUUAUGUAACACGUCAUAUGAACGUGACAAGGUAGGAUACAUGUGUACAUCGGUUCAACACAGGAUAGAUUCAUGCAUAGAUAGAGUUGUUUAAACCGGCAUACCUUGGACUACUACAAGUUGUAUUCAAACUUCAUGUAUCUAUUGGGGAUUUCCCUAUAUAUAUAUAUAUUAACACGAAGCCGUGGGCGUGCCAAGAGAGGCAGCCACAUUAACCUAUUUGCCAUGUAUUCUUUCAUCAUGGCCUAACUUACUCUCUACAAUAAGUUUUAUGCACAGGCUCAUCCACUCAUUCACCGCUUCUCUCUGCGUAUUUGACAUGUUACUCCUCCACUCCAAAACAUCUAGAGCAUCUCCAGUGAGAAGUUCAAAGUGACUCAUCAUCUUACACGAAUGCAUGAAAAGCGAACCAAACAACUAGAAAAUGUGAAUGUCAUGAAUAGAACAUCAAGAGGGAGGUGUCACUCUGCUGCUUUUAAUCAAUGAUGUAAAGCUGGCGACUUGAUGUUGAUAUUGAAGAUGUUGGAGAGAGCCUGAAGCCUGAAGAAGUAGAUGGAGGCAUUAGAAGUCUACACGAGUCAAGAGGCCUAACCCAAAGUAUGACAGCUUAUCUUGGCAACCUAAUUGAAGCAAAGCCCGCUAUCACCUGAUCGCAUCUUAUACAGGGGGUGUGUAAGAGUGGAGGAGGUAAGGAGGAAGAUCGAAGACAUUAGCUGACUGCAAUAUAGGAAUACGGAAUACCAUUUGUAUAUAGGACAUCCUAUGAUCUUGUACUCGUAUUUGGAGUGAACUUGUGAGAACCAAAAGUCAAACACUACACAUGUUGCUUGUUGGUGGCAGUGAACCAUUCAUGGAGAGAGAAAGAAUCACCUCUUAAAUAACGGUCAAAUCAGUGACGGAGCUAGGAUUCGAAAAAGAGGGGGGCCAAGCAAAUUAUAUCAAGCACGUUCCAUUUCCAUAGAAAUCAAGGCCAAAUAAAAUAAAUUUCAUUUCAAAUCAAAUGAACUAUUUGAAAAGUUUUGAGCAUAGGGGGGCAAUGGCCCGUGCCAGCUCCUCCUUGGCUCCAUCCCUGAGUCAAAUCCUUGCUUUAAAAAAGGUGAAUUGGAAUUGUGGGAAAGAGAAGUUGUGAGAAGAGCGAGACUAUAAAAAUGGAGUAUUUAUUUAUUGAAAAAUGUGUUGGCCCCUAUGCUUUUGAGUCAAAGUCAAGUAAGAUCGUGUGGAUGGAUUUUUUUUUUCAACGAGUCGAAUCAUCGAAUCACAGAGAUGCUCUAAACUAACAAAAUAUGAUGGAGAAGAACAGCCAAGAAGACAAUCAUAAUACGAACGAUUUUUGACCCUGUUUAUUUCCGCUUAUAACCAGCUUAUUGGUGAAAAUAAGCGAGAAUCCUACCAAACACCUUACUUAUUUUCCCAGAUUCUCGCUAACCGCUUAAGAGAUUUGAACCAUAAGAAGCGAAAAAGCGAAAAGUGAGAAGCGAGAAAAUUUUUACUUAGAUUAUAAUUAAGUAUGGUUGAGAGAAGCGGAAGUAUGGUUGAGAGGAGUGGAAACAAUCAGGGCCUACAGCAAUCUCAAUCGCUUGAUUUAUUCGAUUUUUUAAUGAACCUAUUAAUUCGAUUUCACAGAUCACGGAUCACCCGUUCUCGGCAAGGCAAACGGUCCAGCCCAGCCGUCCAGGAAUUCGAAAUUCGGGACGGCGCUCACGGCCACGGCCCCACCGAACGCGCCGUGGCACCAGCGUUUCGUUUGCACGCACCAGGUCCAUACACCGGAACCAUCCUGUCCGUCCGUCCAUCGCGCGGCAUCACACGAACGUCCGGAUUCGGCUCGCGGUCCACCAGGCGCUCCGUACACCGGGCAUCUCCCGUUGUCCGCCUCGUCAUUUCAAAUCGAACAGGUUAAAAAUCCCGCUCACCCCCGCAUCCCCUCCUCGCCCCCCACACUAGAGGCCGUAGCCAGCCAGCAGCCACCUCCAUCCAGGCGCAAAGCCGCAAACCCUAGGGAAUCUACCCAGGAAUCCCACCCGAAUCAGGGCUGUAUCCUCGGAGUCGUCGUCGCGGGGACCGGAUUGCCGCGGGGCCGGAGAGGAGCAGAGCAAAUCGUGAGGAAUUUCUUGCUGUUUUCAGGCGGAUGUGUUCGUACAAUUUUUCGAGUGGUUUGGUGAUGCGGGUUCUCUCUUGGUUCUGUUGUUUGCAGAUCUCGGAAGGAUAAGGUUUCGGAGGCGGGAUCAGGAGCGGAGGGGACCUGUUAUAGGUGAGAAUCGACAAACGGCAGGGCAUUCGUUGGGUCGCCCCAAUCGCUUUGCUCUGUUGCGUUUCGUUGGUUGUUUUGGUCUGAAUCCCUGGGGAAGUGUGGGAUUGAUUCGAGUAGGAAUGUGGGGAGAACGAUUCGGGGCCAGAUGGUCUUGAUGUCACUGAUGGUUUUGUUGGGGUCUUGUCUGAUUCGUUGGUCUCGUUUGCCUUGUGGCUUUCUUGCAGGUAUCGUAGAGUCGUAGGUUCGCGCUGACAUUGGAAGAAGGCGGAGAGGCGGAAGCGGAGCAAGGGGAGAGCAAUAGGUGUGUAGAUUUUGGUGAAUUUGUAUUUCAUGCUCCUCUGUAUUCCACUUCGCCGAUUUCAUCCGGAAAUUUCCUGCGUGGAUCCAGGGGAAGGCUCAGGGCACUAAGAAUUUCUUGCAGAGAUCCAGGAGAAGAGCAACAGAAAUCGACACACCAAGAGCACAAGAGGAGCAGAACUGUAAGGAAAACUGUGAUUCAUGGAUUUGUUGACGUCCUGAUGCAUCUUGUGGGUGGUUCUUGCAUUACUGUCUCACUGAUGUGCUAUAAAAGCUUCUUGCAGAACUAAAAGAUGCCUCAAGUGCGGACUGCCAGCAGGCCGGUACUUGCCAGCCACUCUGGUGGCGGGUUCUUCGUGAGGAGGGUGGCAUUGCCGGGAAUCGUGGUGGUAAGGUGUACCAUCAAGCCACUGGCUCGACGGGCUCGGACACGGUUGUGCAACAAGGAGAAUGUGCCACCAGUGGGGACUGUGAAAACUGCACCAAAGAGUAGGAGCCCCCUACCUGACUGGUACCCGAGGACCCCACUCCGUGACAUCACAUCUAUCGUAAAGGUGGGGACCUGUUUCCUUGGACUGUUCGUGGGAUGUUCUCUAAAUCUCGUAAAUGUGAUGACUAUUUUGCGCUAAUGCCAGAGUUUUAUGGUUGAUACAUGAUGCAUGAUCUGUUCUUUAGGAUAUGCUAUAAUGUUGCUUUGUUAGAAUUAUUAUUACAUUAUUGGUCUUGUAUUCGAAAUGCCCUUGUUACCAAAGUAGAUUCUGGAUUAGAGUUUGGUAUUCAGGAUGUAGAAGUUUUUAUAGGGCUAAUGUUGGUGUCUUGUACAUUUUUGUUUAUGAUACGACAAGAUCCAUGAAUUCAGUUAGCCUGUGUCUCAGUGGCUUGAGUGAGAACAGUAGCAUGAAAUGCGAUCAAGCAAGCCUAACCUUUUAUGCUUAGUGCAGUGACUAACACAAAAGAUUAGUAUAUUUCAAAUGACUUGACAAUAGUUGGCUUUGGUUGUAAUGAGCAGCCCUUUUGUUUUUUCUGCUUGAAUCUUUCUAUUCUCAGUUUUAGGUAGCCAGCAAUUUAAAUGUGCUUAAAACUAGAGAAAUGUUUCAUGAGUAAUAAGGCCAUCAUUUAAAUUUAGUUUCUUACUUUGCAAUCUUCUAUAGCGCCAGUAUCACAUAGACUUAAUAACCUAUCAUGUUAGAUGUUCAUGAAAUGCAGGGCUGGAUUGCAGUACUUGUUUUAGUUGUAGAAACUAAAGACUCGAUAAAGCUGCACAUUUCAGAGUUUUUUCUUUUUGUGUCGUAUGCCACCAUGGGUCGUACAUUAGCUAAGUAUAAUUCAAUAGUUCAUUAACAACUUUAUUUCCAUUGAGCAAUUGUACAGAGGAUCUUAUUUGCUACAGAAUAUCAAACCCAUGCUGUCUCCCUUCCUCAAUUCUGAGAUGUCCAGUCAUUUAAUAUGACAUAGUAAAAUCAACGUACAUGGAUCCAUCCAGGAUAUUUGCAUAUUCAGUUCAGCUUUAUCUGUAGAAUGCUCAUAUUGUUCUUCGAUAUAUUCAAGAAAUCUGCUAGAACAUUGUAUUUGGUAAUUUCUUCACUUUUGAUGUUUUACUGGUUCAGUCAUCUUCUAGGCCAAUACUGUGAAAGUAUCUUUAUGAUGUUGCUCAUACACAGUGUAAAGCAUCUUUUGCAUGCUACACAAUGUAAAUUUCUUGAUUAGAAAUUAUUGAAGGCUCAGCUUAUAUUCAUUGAAAUGAACCUUUUUUGCGGAUAAGUAACUAUGCUUCUGCCUCAUAAAGAAUCAGUAUACACGCAGAGUUGUUUUUUAGAUGAAGAGUUGAAGAAGAGUCAUUGUUGUUUGCCACAUUGACAGUUAAUUUAGAUUUUGCGGCAACUUUUUCUUCAUGUUAAGCAAAGUUUGCUUGUUUCUCUGUAGAUAAUUGUUUGCCUCAGAUGAGCUUUAGUACCUUUCACUUCUUCAGAUGGUUCAUAUUUUUUGUAUGCUGAUGUACUUGGAAUUUGCUUGUCAACUGUUAACUGCAGACAGAGAAAAAUGUACAUACCUAAUUCAGAUGCAUUAAGUUACGUUUCCCAGGUAAUCAGCUCCUUACUAAUUGCAAUUUGCAGGCUCUUGAGAGAAGAAGUCAGCUAGAGGAUGCUGCGGCUCAGCAGCAGAUCCAAUGGAUUGAAGAUUCCUCACAAUCGGCGGAUUCAACAACUCCAGUCCAAGCAGAACAGAACGAUCCUCAUAACACACUGCAAGCUCCGGAGGCACUGGGUGCUGUUGCCUCUGGUUCUGGCUCUACUUCAGUUGGUGCAAACCCCCCAGCUUCUGUGGCUGAGGGGCUGAAGGAGUCUUCCUCUCCAUCUGACUGCUCGUUGCAGACGGUUCCAUCCAAACCAAAUGAUUCAGCUCAUGCUGAUCUAAUGGAGAAGAAACUGUCCAGAUCAAUAGAGCAGAUCGAAAAGAUGGUGAAUCAACGACUGAAGGAAACUCCAAAGGCCGCUCAGCCUUCCAAGGUGUCUGUCCAGAGGCGCACCCUGAUGUCCAUGCGAUGAGCCGAACCCUGCUCUGCACAUCAAUGGCUCUCUUCUAUCAGCUGCUUUCUUAGCAGCUAGCCUAGGCAUGAUAUUUAAAACGAACUACUAAUUGAGGCAUGGUGCCUGCUCAAUUUUGCCUUUAGAGGGUGGAGGUUCUCUGCUUGAGGACCAUGGGGUAGGGGGGCUUCUAGGUUCCAGUGUUUGAGGGUAUAGAUAUCUGUGGUUAAAACCUGUGAUGGUAUGAUUACUGCAGUAAAACUUCAUUCGUGCUUGUCUUGUCUACCUUUACUAGAAACGAACUGCUAUUUUACACGUCUUUUUAUUUGUAAAAUAUGUGCCUUAACUUCACUAUGUAGCAGUACGAUGUUUUGGAUCUUGAUGGUGUUAACUGAAUAGAUGCCACAGUUCUAGCAUUUGAGUUGCAACAGCUUGAAUUCUUCGGUUGUAGAAUACUUCAAUUGAUGCAGUUUGCCUUGCUUAUUGAAUUGCAUGUCUUUCCUUCUUUCUUUUGCUCGUUUUACAGGAUCUAGAACCAAAAUCCUUCAGCUUUACAGCUUGGUGUUCUCUUGGCAGGUGGGUGCUUCUGUACUAGUUGUGCUUGUCUUACAUUUUCUCAGUGCACAAUGUAUUGCUUAGCGUCACGGAAUUUCCCCUCGCUUCAACUACUCGUGCAUCCUAGUCAAUUGCAUUUGAAGACCACAUUUUGGAGAUGUGAUGAAUAAUUUACAUUCACUUGGAAAGCUGCAGCAGCUGGUUCAAAAUAGAUAACGUGUUUAGCAAGCUGGGAGUUGCUCAACAAAAAGAGGAGCAGAAACCACCCUUGUGUACAUGGUAUUAUCCCAAUAGUGCUGCUUAUGCAGUUGCUGUAAACACUUCAUGUGGAGACUUGCUCACAAUAGUGUUGCGAUGCGGAUGAAUCUGGAGAGAAGCUGAGAAGAGGCAUGGAGCUGGAUACAAGAUGAGUGAUGUGCAACAGAUAUGAUGAAGAUGGAGAACACCUAAUCUUUAAAUGCAAGCAUGUCAAACUUGUAAUGAGUGCGAUGUGUUUAGAGGAGUAACGGGUUCUAUUGGGCUGGGAAAGCUUCUGCUCGGGAGGUCGUGAAACAUAUCCUUGGCCAGUUGGCCUGGAGGAUGGGAAGCAAAUGAAGGUUAGCCUGUUGAGGCAAUGGCGGCUGGAGAGGAACCCUGUCAGAGAGGGGGAGAGGAGGAAAUCAGCUGAUGACCUCGCGUUCAUUGCAGGAAGAUUGCGGAAGAAUACACUGGAGAAGAGAAAAUAAACUCCGACGGGGGGCAUUCUUGCUUAUCACAGGCGAGGGAGGGUGCGGCUUUGUGAUCAGAGAUGCAGAGGGGAUGUGGUUCAGGACCAGUCGGACGCAUAUCGAUUGGCAGCCACAGGAGGAAUGAUCUUGAGCUGAAGCAGCUCGUACGUUUAAAUUUUAUAUCAUGUUCUUUUUGUUAAUGCUUCACGUUCCUGACUUCACUCAUGUGUUGUCCAUGUGAAUCUGGACCUGACUUCACUCAUGUGUUGAAUUCAGAAAGUUCGCUUCAUCUCCGCGGUGUCAUUUUCAGGCCCUUCGAUAGGGAACGGCGCUCACGACAGCCACUGUGCCAGGGGAACAAAACGCAACAACAGAAGGAUCGGCGAAACAAGCUGAUGCUGUUUAAGGACAUCUUAUGAACUGAAGCAAAACAUUAGUAACAGUGCUACUCCUACAGAAGUUAGGAUGUCCACAAAUCACAAGAUGUCCGAGCCAAUUAGGCAAUUACAACUCUGCAACUAGAUGCUGCUUACACUCUACAACUGAACAUUGCAGUUUAAGAGAAGCCUCAGGAGUCAGGACACAUCAAGAGAUGUUAAAGCAGCCAAAGAAUUCAGAGAAAGCGGAGAUCAUGUACAGAAUUGAACACAAGUUGCAGUGAUACCAGGGUUACAUGGCAUAUCUGUAUGACAUAACAUAACUCAUGUCGUCGAAAUAAUGAACAAAUAAUUACAAGCAAGGGCACCUUCCGUCCCUUAGAAGGCUGGAAGCAUCGAGCAUGCCAUGAGGGUCUACAGCAUCACUGCAUCCUAGGGCAUUUGUGAGAAUGGCUGUGUAUUCAUCAGAUAGGAAACAGGUUACUGGCAGCAUGUUGAAUUUUGUGGGUUCUGAUGGCCUGCAGAUAUCUACCAUCUAGUGACCGGCCAACAAGAUCCAAGCAUGAUCUCCAUGCCACACACAAUUCUUUAGCACAGAAUGGUAAUGAGCAAACACCGUUGCAAAUUCUACAAAUGUGCGAUUGGGGAUGUUGCGUGAAUUGGAGGAAACAGCAGACGUUCACGACUCCAGAUUUCUGGUACUCUCGUGUUUUUGUGAUAGCAUGAGCAACGAUGAGUACUGUUGAGGUAAAUCAGCUGGUUAGUUGUUUGAAUCUCGCUCAAAUUGAUGGGUUUCAUACAGAACGAUAUCUGAUGCUUGACAAAAAACAAAUAGAUAAAUACUAUUCACCAAUGCUAUACAAAUAUUAAGACAUGAUAUUAUUCAGCAUAUACAUAUUUUCACUAUUCACUGUGGCUAGUCACCUGCGGAAUCAGAUUAUGUACAAGACUACACUUUACCAUAGAAAAUAGGAAACCAACCUGUGUACCGGCGAUUAUGGUGUGACUGAGUGGAUGAGCUGCACAAGAAAGCACCCUUUGGGAUAAAGGGACAAGCUUGUUUUCCACAGGUUGAUUUUCCUCGAGGCCUCUCGUUUCCUCUCUGAUAAGGGAAAAUCAAGUGAGAAAAUAAAUAUAAAUAUCUUGCAAUUAAAUGAGCUUACUAAAAAAUCUGUCCAGGAAAAUAAAUGAUAGAUAAAUAACCAGAAAACAAAGGAUAAAGAAAAGAGGAGCUACUUGUAGUCCACAUGGCAUGCGGAGCUCGUGUCUGGAUGAAAAUCCAGUACAUAAAUUCCAUCAUAUGAGGAAGAUCCAACUGCAUAAAUCUGGAAAAGUAUAAUCAUAUAAUGUUCAUAAAAUUCCUUAACAUCAAGGAAAAUUCACAAAAGUUAACAGGAGUGCAUUAAUCAGCAUUCACAAAUUUGUUUUACCUCAACCAAAUAUCUCUUAAGGCUUCAGUUUUAAGAAAAAAGCAUUGCAGGUACUAAAAUUUGGGGUGCUCUACAAUAUACUUACUGAAGAUGUCGGCAGCCAGGUUGGUUUUCUUAGCUGUUUUUGCAACACCAAAUCCGUGCUCUCCCUUGUAAAAGAAAAAGAAGAGUACCACAAAAUAAUUAGUUCCUAGUAGAAAAUGCAUACUUUAAUUAGGAAUAUAUGUAGGCACCUAGGUUUGGGAAAAAGAAACAUAGCGGGAUACUUACAACCAAGCAGGAGGAGGGCAGUGCAGGUGAGUCACACUGAGGUUGUUAACAUUGAGGACUCCAGACCUAUCAUAGGAUGUGCACACACAAGAAAUUCAUUGAGAUGUUGUCCAUAGUAAAGCACAGCAAUGCACUUAAAAAUGAGUGGAAGGGUUAUUAUAGAUUAGUAAAGGGUCAUAUAUGGAAAAUUUCUAACAAAAUCAUGAGGGAAAAAUCUGAGAUACUUACCAGCCAUCAUCAAGAUGGAAGGCCAAUUGAUAUGGGCAACUAGGGUUGAAGUCUAUCGACAGAAUUGGACUUGAAACAAUGUUCGAUUGUUCCUGAAAACAGUAAUGCCAAAACAAUGGUUUACAGAAGAAAUGCUAAUGGCUCCAAGUUUUACAAUUUCUUAUUAAUGUUAAAAAAUUAAAGCACAUUUCAUGUUAUAUCAUGUAACCUGCCAUAAAAGUAUUUCAAAUAGGAGAAUAUACAAUGGUUUUGGAUGUUUAAAAAUUUACCCCAAAAAGUGUUUUCAAUUUAUCGGUUCAAGGAAGUGGUAAGAAGAUACUUUUCAAGAGAAGAUGAGUAGACAUUGUGAUUGAAAUGGAUUCAGGAGGUUAGGAAAACAAGGAUGGAAUAAACAUGGAUUCAGCAUACGGCCUUCUGGCCAUAUUAUCCAAUUGUGUUAUGAACGUGCACAGUGCAUGCAUUUCAUCGAAUCACUAACUUGCAUGUGAACUUCAUUAGGAAGUUGAACGGAUCAGUUGGAAAACUCAGUUCCAUGGCUACCAGAAUUUUGAUACCUGCCAGACCUUCGGUCCUCUUUUGAUCAGAAUCCGUGUAUUAUUGGUUGUUAGGGAUGCCCAAAUUUCAGCCCUCUAUUCAGGGAAGAAUAUAUGCACUAAUAGUACACAAGGAAAAAUAAUGAAACAAUUUCCCAAAAAAUGGUUUUCUAAACCCACACUGGUUCAUAGUGAAAGUAAUAUGGCUUGGGAAUAGUAGAUGUAUUGACGUAGAACACCAGGGUUACAUAUAUAGGCUAGGGUCUCCAGGGUUUAUAGAAACAGAACCAAUCAGGAGAUCCUAGCCUAAUAGGACACCUACCCAAACCCUAGGGGGGUGGCGCAUGGCAAUGGGCCUGCGCCAGCACCCAUGGCCCAUAGUGGUCGGCCUAUACAGCAAGCAGUCUAACACAUAGGAAUGAGAAUGCAAUUAUUCCAUUUAAGUAGUUAAUACGUAAAACUCAUUAUACAAUGGAUACACAAACGGCACCAAGAGCGGAAAUAAGUACACUAAUUCUUUUAGCAGAUAAGUCCAUAAUAAUAGGUCUUCUCUUGUGCAUACCUUUAGUGAUGCAAUUUUGCCCAACAAUGUUGAUACCUUCACUGAUGAUAAUUGUUGAACCUAAAAAGGUCAGCAAGAAAACAAACCCUCAUGUGUCAAUACAGAUACGACAUCGCUGCAUAAAAAGGUUGAAAUGAAUUUAUCUACAGAGAUGGCAGUAAAGUAUUAUCACAGCAUUCUAUUCAAACUAAUAAACAAACUAGAUUGACUAGCCUGUAAAAUUCCAUAGAAUUGUUAAUCAUAAAACAAAAGCUUCUAAUGCUUGAAAGCUUAAAUUAUUUAGACUACACUAUAUUAGUGCAAGUUAGUUCUUAAGAAUUAUGAUUUAGAAUUCUUCAUACUCCCUCUGUCCCAAAUUAUAAGUCAUUUUGGCUUUUCUAGAUGCAUAGAUAUUAUUAUGCAUCUAGACAUAGGUAUAUCUAAGCUAUGAAUCUAAAAAAACCAAAACGACCUAUAGUUUGGAAGGAGGGAGUAAUUUCUAAGUUUAAAAAGAGUUCAUAUAACAUCCCAUGGUUCUGAACCAAUCAUAAUUAGGCUUCAUUGGUGAAGACUGUGUUUCAAUCUCCCUCAGAAUCAGUAGUUUUUUCCCCUCUUGGCUCCUCUAAACCGCUUAAGCUUUGGAUUUCUUAGUAGCAACUUUUGGGUGAUACAGGGAAUUAGCUAGCAUGACUUACAAGCUAGAUCUGCAGAGUAUGGUGUAAAAGACUGCAGAACCUCGUGUGCGUCAUACAUAAAGUUUAUCUGCUGAACAACUGAACCCACCUCAUUGUGGCUCUGAAAAGCAGCCGACGCCCUCCCUCCCCUGAUAUCCCAGACAUGAAUUGUGCCAUUUUUAGUUGCACCGAACACAGUCUACAAAAUAAAUGGUAAGUGCCCAUCAACGGAUGGCCCGGAAUUUAAAAAAAAUAGUUAACUUCAUAAGUUAACAGAAAGGGUUUAAAUCAGAUGAGCCAGCAAAGAUAACAGAAAAUGUAGAGAGCAUAAAAAACCAGAAACUAUACAGAGCAUAAAAACCAUAAAGCAGCUAGAAAAGCCUUUUUUUUCUUAAAUAAUUCAUUAGCAUCAGGUUCAUCAUAACAAGAUGAUUAAGUUAAUGGAAUGUUGUCCUUACUCAAACAAAAGAUGUCAUGAUUAGUUUUCCAUUAUAUGAAACAAAGUAAUCUAAAGAAGCAAGCAACAUAUGUUAGAGUACUUUCAAUUUUCUAGAGUAUUUUCAAUUUUCAUAGCAACUUCAGGUAUCAGAGAUUCAUAUUAUAGAUAUAACAAACAUAAGAAUUAGCAUACCCGAUUAUCUACACUUAGCUUGACAGUGUUGAACUGAGACUCUGGAGGUGCCACAAGCUCAAGACAAUGUGUCUUACUUGACCGCCUGUCCCACAUGUACACUGCCCCAUCAAGGCCAGACGCAAAUAUCCUACGGCAAGAGAACUGAUAAGUGCAGAUCCCAUGCAUAUUUCAAACAAGACAUAGAUUAGUUUUGCACAUUGGUACUUUUACACUUCAAAUACCAUUAAGAUACCAGUAACAACAUUCCCAACACGCAAAUAAAAUAACUAAUCUUUAUUUCAGUUUACGAACCAACAGCCACCACAAAAAGGAACACAUGUCAGUUGAUGAACCUACAUUCCAACAACCACCAUCAGCAGAAUUACAUGCUAUCUCUUUUUCAAUAACCCACCCAGCCCAAGCCACCUAGUUACAUUUCUUCAUAAUAUAUCAUGUUUAGCAGUCCUUAAGUUCUUUAGCUUUUCACAACUGUACAUAUUUCUUCAUUAAGGGACUAUAGGACGAAGUUAUAUGUUCUCUGAGAGAAAAAACAGAGAACAUGAUAUACAUUUGAUUGUCUGGAGCAAGCUUCACAGUAAUAAAUGGCGUGGCUCAAGCAAAAGAGUACUAAAUAGCAAUAUUUAAUUAUUGGCCUUAUUUCACAGAUGCAACUGUGAUUGGUCGCAAAAAAAAAGAGAUGCAACUGUGAUUGCAUGAACAGGUGAAUAAUCAUGAAAUUGUUACCUACCGUGACUUAUCAUCUGAAGUAAAAGCUAUAUCAGUCAAACUUUUGCGGGAUUCAGAGUAGAGAGUGGGAAAUUUGGAUUUGCCUUUCUGCAAAAUCUAAAGUAACAAUAACUCAAAAUCAGAACGAUAUGUGUGUUCAGAAAAAAUUUAAUAAAUAAAGCUACAAUUCCUUCUAAUGUACAAAGAUUUAGAAAGGUACUUUGACUUUGAGACAUUAUUCAGAAACCUUUCUUUUUACACUGACGAAUUUCAAUUGUUGUACAUACUGGUGGAAGCAGGUCUACCUUAUCUCUGAUUCAGAUACGCGACACUAUAUUUGUCAUAAAAAUUUCUUGUAUAUCCUGCACCUACCAUACUUAUAAAAAAAGUGGGAGAAAAACAAAGUGAAUAAAGUAAGAGGCUGCAUUCAGUUUGAUAAUUUAGAAAUAGAAAGAAAAGGGAAAGGAUGCUAUAUGAUUUGUUAAAGUAAACCAACAGAAGACAUGUUUCAAAAGCAAACUUAAACAGUAUUGUGAUGCGUUUGUAAAGAACAAUGUAACAGGGCCCUUACUUCAGUCGGUGCAGAUGAGACAUAGCCAAUAUCAAAGAGGAAAACUUUAUCACUUUGACUUGAUGUGCAAGCAAUCUGCAGCCGAGAUGUUCAACAAUAAAAUACUUAGAAUCAAAUGUGCUCAUAAAUAUCUCAGUUUAUAAUAAAAAAAGGAAUAGACUGUAGUGCCUAACUGCAUGCUAGUAAUGCUUGGCAGCCACCAUUAGUAUCGAGUAGCAAAAAUAGGAACUCAAGGGACAAAAAGUUAAAAACCCCAUGCUUCAUGAAGAAUAAGUCUGCUGCGUACCUCAUCUUGGUUUUCUGGAUUCCAUCGGACAGCAUUCAGAGGCAUUCGGUUAGAUAUAUGGAGCACAUAAUUUGAAGAGUCAUUUGGCGUACCUACCAAGAAAAAAAGUAAGUUACUGCAAAAUCAUUAUAAGACCUGAAACUAUAGCUAAGAAAAAAUUAAGAAGCUUUGCAAAAGAAGAUUUGGAAUGCCAAUUCUCCUGCACCUUGGAGUAUCCGAGUAUGUCACCAUAUCAACUAUUUUGGUGCAUGCUGGCGCUGUGGAUACACAAAUUCUAACUAGAAUUUGCACAGGCAAGAAUUUAGCAACAAAAUAUGUAGAAGUCCAUCUGUUUUCUAGGGAAAAUCAGGUUCUUAACAGACCUCCAAUUUCUUUAUCACAUGAAGAUACGAAGCUAAGACUAGCUUGUCGAAGAGAAAAACAAUGUUAACUAGAGGACAAUAUGGAUUAGAAAAGUCAUAUGUGUUCUGACUUUGACUUACUGCAUGAUCGGCCAUAUAUGGAGCAGUAUAAAGUCUCAAAGUCAUGCACGGUCAAACAUCCUGAGAAUGUCACCGAUGCAAGGUAUAUUCCCUGCACAACUAAAAUCACAAAUGAGGAUGCUUUAAUAUUUUCUCAUAUCACAAAUUUGUGCUAAAAAAUCAGUAGGGAAUGAGUUGGAAUCGGUAGUCAUGAUAAACUAGAAAAAUUUACAUCUGUACAGAAUAUGCAUGUUACCUUUUUAUCGAAUUCUAUUGCUGAAAUACCCUCCCUGUCCAAAUACAGUGGUACAAGUUUAUCAGUCCAUCUAAUAAGUACAUAUUACUACAAACCCUUAAAAUGCAUCUGUGGGAUGGUGAUCGUAACAUAACUCUAAAUCAUGUAAAGUAACACUCCAAAGAACUACAAAGAGAGAGGCAGACCUUACUAGAUGAAGAUUCAUAGUUGAAGCACUGAUCAUUCGAUCCACCUGAUAGGAGCAAUGAUAGUAAACCUGUCAGUUGGAUGAAGUAAGGUGGUUUGGCAUUACAAGUAAAAUUCAAAUAACAAACAGCAUUACAUAUGUCCGACACCGUUCCUCACCAUGCAUGUAAUACUUGUGAUCAAAGGCCCCAACCUUGUCAAGAUAAAGUAAAGCAGAAUAUGAAAUCAAGAUUAAAAAAAAGUAUCGCAAUGUAAGAACCAAACAGAACAUGAUGUUCCUUCGUUUUCCCUUUCCCACAUUGAUGAUAAUAUGAUAUAUAAACUUCUAGUCCCCAGCGCAUAGCCAUUAACACCUAAGAACCUUAGGAGCUCAUUGCUACAAACUAAGCUCAUAAAUCACAAGGAACGAAAGUUUUACGAUAUCCUAAAAGAUAUUUCUUGCCAAUCACAAUAGCUUUAUGCUUUGUUUGGACAUUGAAACGGGCAGAUCUUCCUCGUUAUUCCAUUAACCAAACAUUUUAUUUUCGAACAAACACGGAUAGUUGCGCUAAUAUUAACUAAAAAGGAUUACUUGCGAUAGGAUUUAGCCUAUUAGAGUCGAAACUUGCCCUGGACCGUGGACCCUGGAGUGUUCCACAUCCUGCUUCUUAACCCCUGCUACCAAGGAAUCCCACUGGCGAACACAACGACAGAUCCCAAAUCAAAACGAAAUCAGCUUUCUGUUUCAAGAACAUGGAACCUCGGCGAAGGAAUUGAGGAGCAGGCGCGACUCCCGGUGCCGGAACCGGGCGUCGAUGCGGCCGUCCAGCUCCACGGCGAUGCGCCUCCACCGGUGUCUCCUGCGGAACAAAAGAGGUUCAGAGAGCAGUGAGAAGCCAACGGAGUGUGGCUUUGGGGAGCUGCGGAGCACCUCGGAGGCGGCGGCGGCGGCGCGGGGUCCUCGCCGGAAUGGGGCGCCGCCGCCACGAGGAACUUGUCCAUGGUCGACGGCAAAGCGAUGGCGCCACUCCGUAGGGUUGGAUUCUGUUCCCGCCAAAAUGAAGAUUGGUAAAAGAGUGCGCCGCUCGGCAAAACGCAAACGUGGCUGGUGGAUCAAGGAAAAAGCGUUCUUUUCUUUUUAGUCGAACGCAUUCAAAUUUAAUUUAUCCUUUCCUCUAAUUUUUUUCGAUUCCUUUUCGCCUCUAAAUGUUGCUCCAUUUCCUAAUACUUAUAUGUCUAUUGUAUUAUGCUUCCGCACAGACUUAGACCCCGUUUGAUUCCCUAAAGAUUAUAUAAUCCACUUAAAAAUAAUCACUAAUGGAUCCAAAUGGGAAAACUGGUGUAACGAAUGGUAAGAAUCUACCCUCUAGAUUCUAAUAAUCCCACUAUCUCCUUCAACCUAGCUAUUUGGAGAUUAUAGGUUGGCCUCUGUUCCAAUCUUUAUUCCCCAUCCAAGCUAAAGGUAUUAUAGAUAAUUGAGCUUUUCAAAGAACCCACUAUCCGGAUUAUAAUCUAAAAUCCAAACAAGACUGUUACUUUUAAGAAUCCAGAUUCUCAUAAUCACUAUCCACUAUCUGAAUUCUCAUAAGCAACCUUAGAAUUUUGGUUGAAUUGCUGUAUACAAAGAAUUAAUUCAAAAAGGAGAGAAAGGAAACCAGAACGAGUUGUCUUUAGUCGACAGUCACGGUUAAGGAUUAAAGCUGUCUAAAAAAAGCUGGGACUAUUUGAAUCCUCGUAUUGUAGGCUGUUAAAUUGUUGGUCUGCACGAGAUUUGGCUGGCGCCUAGCCCUGCGAAAACGUCACUUAAACGGGGUUCUCUCUGUCCAUUUGCAUGAAAUAAACACUGCCAAUCUCCACGAUAUUGCAAACUUGCAAUCCGCGACAACAUGAUCAGGAUACACACUGACAAACUCCACAUUCUACACAGAGCUUACCCAGGAGACCAGGAUCCACCAUUCCAUUUCCAAAACCCCUAAACCCAGCGUAUCACUCAUGAAAGUCACUCAAAUGAUGCCACAAACAUCGCAAAAAAUGAGCAAUUCAAACAAAUAGGACAACCAAGAUACUACCGGUUAACAUCAAGCUCUAUUAAACAAAGGGCCCAACAGAUAAACGCAAUGAUGAAGCACCACUACGGAUAAAACUUUUCUUAAAUCUUCUCAUAAUAUUUAACAGGCAGACUUCAAUAGAGAUCAAAGGUUCACUACCCGGGGGUACAAAACUCAGAAGUACAGGGGCACACUAGGCAAAACGACUUCUUCGGAACUCAAAAACUACACUUAGAAGACCAUCUCAUGGGGCUUGUCACCAUCCCUGAGAGAGAACCGGGCACCAAGGUAGGUCUUCAACUCUGGGACAGCCUCAAUAGCCUUGAUCAGAGCAGCAUCGACGGCCUUCUGGUCAUCCUUCUUGAAGUCAGGCAGAGACUUGGAUGCCUGCAGAUCAGCAUACACGAGGGUCCGGUAAUUAUCACAUGGAGCAAAACUGAUUGCAAUAGGUCAACGAGUUAGGGUUAAGGAACUCGGAUGCCUACCUCCUUCUCUGUCUCAAAAAGCUCGCCUUCAGUCUUCUUCACCUUCUGCUUCUUCUCCCUGGCAAAGUACUUGUCAUCAAACUUGGAAACAUCAACACCAGAGAUGUCAACCUUGGUGGAUGUAGCAAUGACGUAGGUCUGGUUCACACGGCGGAUUGGUACUCCAUUGAUCUUGAAAGGCCCUGCAAGGACAACAGAAACAUUAAAACUAGGGCUACAUUAUCAAGUGGAACAUAACAGCAGAAAACAGCUCCUCUGCACGCAUGAACUGAGGGCAUGUGGCUCUAGAAGCUGCUGGGUUGCAAUAGUGAACAGAAUCAGUUUAUUAACUUUAAUUUCCUUCCUGUCAUACACAGGUAGCUGUUGACAAUUUUAUGAACUUAGAAUAAAGUAACUUCCAUACAUUCAAGAGGCUAGUAUCAAUCUCCAUUAAUUAAUCCUCGUGAACCAAAAUGAUUCCAGCAGUUCAACAGAAUAUACCUAACCUAUAUCUAGAAUGUUAUGUUUAUUUCUAUCUAUCUUACAGUGCCAACAAAGACAGCCCAUGUGAUAUUCUUACAUCCUGCCAAACCUUGACCAAGGCAAAAAGGCAACACAUACAAGUCACUGAGUCCAAAAUGAAUUCCAUAAACACUCAAUUCAUCUAUUCAAGAAAACGUACACGAAGUAAUUUUAUGAUAAAUGGGAUGGCCUCUCCAAGAGAAGUAACAACUAAUAAGCAUAAGAACAAAAAUGACAGAUGGAACCUGCGGCCUACAGACCUAGGCUAAAAAGCGACCAAGGUAUUGAGCAGCAUUAGACAGACUAAGUCAGUCCGCAACAUUUACAAUUUUAUAGAUCACUGAUUAGCAAACACCUACAAAAACUUUGCCCAUGCAUCGUAGAUCCACACAACUCGGCUAGCUGAAUGUGUUUGAGGGCAAAAGCAAAACAAACACGCCAACACGGCAUCACGCAAUAGGAGGAAGCGCAGCUCACCAGAGAUGAGGAGGAGGCCGGACUUGAGCUGCUUGAGGAACACCACUCUCUUCCCCAUGAAGCGGCCAGCGAGCAGGAUCAGCACGGUCCCGGGCGUGAUGGUCGACCUGCGCAAACGAACGGCCGAGUCGAAUCAAAUCUACACGAAAAUGAACACGAACACCACUCUGGCUGCCACUUGCAGGGACGAUGGGGCACCUGAGCUUAGUGGGCUUAGGCUUGCGGGUGCUGGGGGCGCGGGGCUUGACGUCGUCGGCGGGGUAGAACUUGGGCUCCUUGGCGGCGGAGGGCUUCUCGGCCUUGGGGAAGGCGCCGCCGUGCUUGGCCUUGAUGGCCCACAGCCCCCGGCGGUGGUACGCGUGCGACCGCGACGCGCGCUUGAUGCCCUGCGACAGCUUCGACGUCGGCGCCAUUGGAUCGGAGCGGUGCAAGGCGCUGCUUCGGCUCGUGGGGCUGGGGGCGGCGGCGGGCGAAGAAUGGAGGAGAGGGUUUGGUCACGGGAUUUAUAUGUGUGCGGCGGCGUGGAGGUGGAAACCCUAGGUCCUUGGGCUCCUCCGCGUGCAGGUAAUGGGCCUAUUUGUUGAGGCCCAUUAGCCAGCCUCUCGCGUGCUGUACACAGUUCAGAUGAGUUUGUUUGUGGCCCAUUUUAGGAUGCACAAGGGAGCGUAUAGUUAUGGAUAAUUUUUGCCAAAAAAGAGGAAACGGUUUUGUAAGAAUAUGUAUACGCUAAAAUGGGGCCUUCUAGUAAAAAGAUCAUUAAUUACCGCUGCUGAUUGCUGCCUUGCUAAAACAUUGCUGAAGCGCCAUCAAUAGACCAUGGUCCAUCACUAUGAGCGGCAGAUCAUCGGAUGGCCAUCUCGAUUCUUGAGCUUUCAGCUGUGAUCGAGCUUCCUCGUUUACGAUUUUCAGCAACCAACACGUAAGUGACAUGAACACUGAAGAGAGCAGUGUCGUAUCGGAUGUUCGGAUGCUCAUCCUAAUAAGGAGGACUAAAUAUGAUCUAAUUAUAAAAGUAAUUGCAGAACUCUGUGCUAAUUCGCGAGACAAAUCUAUUAAGCCUAAUUAAUCCGUCAUUAGCAAAUAGUUACGGUAGCACCACAUUGUCAAAUCAUGAACUAAUUAGGCUUAAUAGAUUCGUCUCGUGAAUUAGACUCCAUCUGUGCAAUUAAUUUUAUAAUUAGCCUAUGUUUAAUACUCCUAAUUAGCAUCAAACAUCCGAUGCGACAGGUGCUAAAUGCUAAAUUUUAGUGGGGUGUAUCCAAACACCCCCUCAGUGCAUCAAACACACAGCAACAAAACCAAUAUCGGUAAACACGAGAAGAGAAAAUAUGGGCUGAUGUUGUCUUAUCACUAGAAUCCAGUUUAUGUAAAAUAAUCGCAUGCUUUGUCAUACAAAACUUCCACAACAUGGACACUGGUAAACAAAAUAGGUGCUUCAUUAAAGCCGUUGCAGGUGUUUCACGCCUUUGAUAGGGUCGAUCGAAGCACAUCUACUCCCCUUUCCAGAGCUCAGCAAACUCAUCAGGUUCUAGGGUGUUCUCCAUCUCGUGCAUCUUCCUCUUCACCUUGGCCUUCACCUUCUUGGCAUAUUUGCCUGCCUUCUGCCGCUUCUCUAGUGCACGGAUCUGGAAGGAACACAAAGCAGGCCAGAUGUAAGUGUUGGAAGGGUACAGUAAGCAUGUUCUAGUUGGAUAAAAUCACAUGUACAAUGAUACCAAGUCCUCAAAUGAACCAUGCACCAGCAGAUGAUCAAUAUUAUCAUGCUAGACAACAAGAAGCUACAAACUACUAUGAAUUUAGAGUGCGCGCACCAAACAUAAUAUGGCUUUUCAUUGUUGUCCCCAACAAAAUUGCAAACAGGAUGGCAGUGUUGUACGCAACAAUGCAUCUCAAAUUGUUAGUGGCGUACACUGCGCUCUACUAAUAUGCGUGCAUAUGCUUAAGAAUGCCUUUAAAAUGAUGCUGAUAGCAUUUUAGAUCAAGUACCAUUCUAGGAUACUUCGUCACUCAAUUCAUUAAAAAGUGGAUCAUUGACUAUAUGAAAGUUCUGUGAAAUAAAUUGUGUGACCUGCCUAACUAACUUUCUCGAACUUUGGUUAUAAUUGAAGGCUUUGUUGUUGUUGGGUUAAAAUCGAAGGAAUAAAACAAUUUAUAGUGAGACUAUCCCUUGAUGAUGAAAAGUAAUAAAUCCAGGUUGGCUUUACAAAAGAUAGUAAGGUCUACAUUUAUAUUUCAAUGAUAUGAUCAAUACUCGACAACAGAUCAGUGAAUCAACAUACCUGAUUGGGAGAAAUAUAGAAUGGAUUCUCAUACCAUGUAGGACCACCAAAACUACCACCGAAUAUUUUGAUUGGAUUCAAACAAAACCUGGGGCCAACCUACAUAGAGCAAUUCGAGCAAAUAUUAUUAUUUAGAUUUAGAGAAAGCUAAAUUUCUAAGGAUGUGAACUAUCCAGGCAGAAGUUCUGCGCCAUUACCUCAAUAAGUGUCAUUUUAUCCAAACCUCCUUUAUCAACUUUGUCAAUCUCAUUGUGGGGAACAGAAAUCUGCAAACAUAUUGGUUUCUAACAUUCAGAUGGAAGCUCAUCCGAACCAAAAUUCAUUCUGACAAAGGAAUCAAUUGAUCACCUGGUAGUUUCGAAACCAAACAUGGCCAUCCACAAUGGAGAAGGCAAACACAUGGUCAUGGAAAGGUUUGACUUUACGGUGAUCUUUAGGAGUAGCAAAUAUCUGCACAAAAACAUGCAAGGACUUCACUAUCACCUCCGUUUUUGCUUUAUAAUACUCUUAAGAUCUUUUUGAUUCACAGCGAGCAAUGCAAAUGCAAGAUUGAAUAGCAGCAUAUAAUAUGUUGUCAUGCCAUAAAUUUCAAAGAAAAGAACUAGAGUCAACAUAUGGAACUCUUCUGUGCAUUAUGGAUUGAAAUCCACCAAAAAGGUUAUACAAAUUUGAUCUUUAUAAUAAAAGACAUACAAAAUUCAAGUUUGACCACUUUUGACAUCAAAGAGAAAACAACAGAGCAAAUCCAAAUAAAGGUACAGAUUAGUCCAGUUCAUCUUCAACUUGUUUAAAUGCUUAGCAAAAACAUUGACAUGGUAUAACAUGUCAAACCGGUUACGCACCUGAGUUAUCAUUUCCUUCACAAGCAUCCAAUGAGGUUGCUCAUCAAAAUUUGUAGAAAACGUAAGAAGAGGGCGUGAGCCUUUUAGAUGGUUACCAGUAAGCUUCAACUCCUCCAUAGUGUGAACUGCAGUGAACAUCACAUUAUGGUCAUCAUAAAUGGAUCAUAAUCAUGAGAAAAGCAAACGCGUUAUAAACUGUAGCCAAUAACAGUCACAGAAUAAGUAAUAUUUGUGUUGUAGCAUACCAGCAUUAACUAGAAAUUUCACUGAUGGUCCUCCAGGAGACUUGACCAUCCAAAGGUAAAGAUCCUUCUGUUUUCUGCACUGUACAUGCACAAGAAAAUUUAGCCACAGAAAUCAAUACAUUACCAGAAUUGACAAGUAUAUUGCUAAUGUAAAUUGAAGAAUUAUAAUUGUGGGAUGAUGCAGAUCUAGUACUCCCACUAGACUAUUUUAUACCAAACCAAAUGGGAGUUGGUAACUAAUCUGAUAGCUCAAAAGACAUUCAGAAUAACUUGGACCAACUAAAGCUUGAGAUUAGCUAUGCACCACUAAUUUAUCCAGCAACCAGCAUAAGACGGUGCCAUUAGCUAGCAACCUGAAGCAUCACGAUAGUGACUAAACUACAGCGUGCACGAAGGGAACGGAGUAGAAGAGCUAAACCUCGAAGAAGAGGCAGCUGGAGCAGCUCCUGAGCUCGAGCAGCUCGUUCAGCGCGUUACCCUUGCUCUGCUUCGACUCGACCUUGCUGUCCUUCUUCGCGUGCGGGAGCAGCGACAGGAUGUCCUGCAUCAGAUGCCGGUACCUGCGACGAAGCACGCAAGCACGCGUCAAUCGAAUCACCCACCACAGGAUACUUCGAGUUACGGCACCGCAAAAGGGGGUAGAACAGGUAGCACCCACCUGUACGUGAUGCGGCGGGAGCAGGUGAUGAGCACCUUCUCCUUGUUCCGGAACGGCGCCGCCGCGGCGGAGCCAGCGGCCUCGGAUGCGGGCUCGGCGUCGGGGGCCGGCUCCUUGAAGCCGAAGAGCGUGCGCGGCGGGCGCUCCGGCGCGGAGUCGUCGGGCUUCUCUGCGACGGCGGCCUUCGCGGGCGCGUCGGUGCGCUUCCGCUUCUUCGCCAUGGCACUAGGCGCGUUCCGUGCGGGCUCGAAGGCGCGGAGGCGGCGGCGAACGGUGAAAGAAGCCUGGAGGUGGAGGGGGAGGGAGCAGGCGCUUUGCCUGCGGGGGGGGGAGACGAGCACGACGGCGAGCUAGGGUUUAAGCUUCUUUGGGUCGGGCAGUUGAGUCGCUUAUCAAGUGGGCUGAAUGGGCCUGCAUGGACCAGCCAGCGCAUGCAAAUCGACUAAUGGCCGGGCCGGCUGGAAGAAGGCCGGCCCAAACGUCAUCAGCUGUUUUGGAACCAGAGAGAGGCGCCGCACAACACAAGAGAAGCAGAGCGUUCCCACAAGAGAAGAGGAAGAAAUAAUCCCAUACCGGCGAUGGGAGAGGCUCGCGGAGCGGUGGGUGGUACAUAUAGGAGGCGGGGUGCUAGCGGUGAUACUUGCCUUAAACUAAUGAGUAAGGAAAACAAAGCGGUGCGGUGAGAGCCGCUCGCGGUGCGGGGUCAUAACCUGCACGGCAAUUUUUGAAGGGGGAAGAGGCUGGCGCGGGUACGGACACUGCCGUACUUUGCAGGACUUGCCUGUGCGGGCCUCCCCACCCACCAAAUCAGACCCAAAUAAUUUGAUUCAGAAGCGGGCGGGUAUUAGGCCAGAUUGGUUGGUUGGCUCUGGUAUUUGGUAUCCAAACAAGUCAUAUUCUCAAAUUCAAGUUAUAUUCUAAAAUUCUUGCCCUGGCAUGAAAUUUGUACACCAACUAGCAAAUUUUGUGCACAAAUUUUAUACACCAACCAAUCAGGCUUCCUUGCAUUCUUCCCUUCCCUUUAAGCAUUCUUCCCUUCCCUUUGCCCUUCUAUUUCGAUCGCUUUCACACGAUUUUGUAAUUAUUUUAAUUUUGCUAGGGCUUACGAUGAAAUUGUUUUCAAAAAAAUGCUUGCAAUGAAUCCACACACCUCGAGGGAACACUGGAUUCAUUUUUAAAAGCAGCUGAUGAUGUCACAAAUCUGAGUUUAGGGAUGUUUACAAGGCGUUUGCAGCUAUGAGUUUUCAGACCCUUACUUUCAUCUUCAAGUCAAAGAGUUUAGGGUUUAUUAAGGGGCUACUUGUAAUGUGUAGUUCAAGUCCACGUCUGCUUCCAAGUAAUAUCUUUUGGACCUACUAUGCAUCUGAAAUGUAGAACAAUCCAAUUGCCAAUUGUCACCAUAGUCUUCGUGUUAAAAGUAAUUGAUAUUCUUCCAUCAUCAGUUUGUCUAUCAAUUAUCUUAUUUUUAGAAGAAUGAUAUGAUGAAGGCUAAAUGCACUUAUAUUUGAAAUUAGAUGGAAUAGCAUUAUUAUGGAUCCACUCUAUUGUUCACGACACAGUAUAGUGCAACCCCAUGCACAAUGAUAUAAAAGCGAUCAAGCAUUGUCAUCUUGCCGUCUAUUGAUUACAAUCGUUGUUGAUUACAAUCGUCUGCCCGUUCACAAAAUGUCACAGCCAAACUUCAUCAUGGUGUCUGUAUUUUAUACUGACAAUCUACCGAGGGAUAUUUGUGUUGAGCUGCUAGGGCACCAUGACUAAUCUUCAAAUACUACCAUUUAAAAUUUUAGAAUGCACAAGUUAACUAAAUUCUAAACUUAGCGUGAUAUCAAAUGGCUUCAAUUUCUUUAGCGAAAAACAUUAAAUCCGCAUCCUCUCACACCAAUAUAUGAAGAUCAUACCCGGUAUACGUAUAAGGUGUUUCAGGAUGAAGAUCAAACCCGGUAUACGUAUAAAGUGUUCCAGGAUGUUAAGCAAGACCAUUAGAUUGAGAAGUUAUCAUCCUGUUUGUUUGAGCUGUAACUUUUGAGUUUUUCCGAACUUUUUGGUUCUGAAAAAAACCAAUACUACCUUUUUAGAAGAUGUGUUUAGCAUCCUGGACUCAAAAACCUACGAAAAGCUAAGAAAACUGAGCUUUUCAGCUUUCCAUAUAAAUUCAGCUUUUCUGAGCUUUUGGCUUUCUAGAAGCUGCACGACAAAUUCGUUAUUUGUUCACGCUGAGAAGUUGCCGGGAAGCUCAAACAAAUAGGACCUCACUAUCGAUAAAACACGUUACUACGAGAACUCAUAUCAAGUCGAGAAGACUCAAAAGUUGACUCCAAAGUUGAAUGAGUAAGUUUUCAACAAAAGAACCCUAACCACGCCGAGACAUAAUGAAAAACUUGGUUUGGCCAAGUUUUAAAAUUUGAUGAAAUUUUGGUAGCCCGAGCCUAGUGUGGCCAAGCCCAUUCCCACGCUGUGCAGGUGUUGGGUCAGAUUUGUCAAUAUAUUAAGAGUAAAUUGCACCAACCAUAUAAUGACUUGUACUUGGUGCACAUUGGUCCAAUAACUUCGUAAAAUAUUUAACUUAGUACAAUAACUUGGCAAUUGGGUGCGGAUUGGUACAACAUGUAAAAUGUUCAAUUUAGUACAAUAACUUUGACAAAAUUUGUGCAUUCGUAAUACUAAAUUAGAACCUAUACUCGGUUGGAUGCCAUUGUACAAGGCGAGGUAUGAAUAGUUGGUAGUGUCCGAAAUUUUGAUUAAAAGCUCAAAUGCUCAAAUUUUGAUUAAAAGCUCAAACGCCAUCGAACUGUGAAUGGCAUGGCUCGAACUGAAUUCGAAGCAGCUUAUCUGGAAGGCAGGCAGAGAAUUGGGGCUUUGGGGCUUAGCACCGACCCCGAUGUUUUUUCCCCUCAAAGAGCGAAUCGUUCGUCUCCGGUGAGCUUUGAUGGAGGGUCAUUGUACGCAAGAGUAGGAUCUCACUUUCCUGCACACUGGCGCCAUGUCUUGUGAUCGCUUUGUGAUGUGCAGUGAUCAAAACAUGCUACCAACCCAGACAGUACAGCCCAACACCUCCUCUGUUUGGUUGCGUGAUCAAGCGUAAACUUAGGCCUCGUCUGGAACGAAGGAUUUUCACGGGAAAAACGGAGGAAAGAAACGCUAGUGAAGCGUUUGGGAUGGAGGAAACACGGAUCUCCUUCCUCCGGAAUCCUGUAGCUAGAUGCUGAUUUCGCAGGAAAGGAAAAAUCCACUCUCAGCUCUUGUUUUCUCUUCCUUCGAGGCAGCAUGUGUCAUUUACUAGACGGACGUGGGAGGAUUAAGGAUAAGCAACAUCCAUCGUCUGGAGAAUGCAAGCUAGGUCUCAAAAUUCACCGAUGUGUGACAGCUUAUAGCUGCAGCGCUCCCAACCAAGACGACAUCACAAGCGACGGAUCUAGCAGCGGAAAAUCGAUUCGCAAAUUGAACCAAUUUUCUUUAAGAAAAAGGGAAAAGAAGGAAUGGAAACCCAAAGAAAUCCCAAAGAAAUCAAACAAGCAAGCACCACCACAGCCUCCAAAUCGAACCCUUCGCAAGCAGAGAUAAGUCAAACUAAACCACGGCGGCAAGCCGGCAAGUGUCGAGCGACGGCGUGGAGGAAAUCUCAGCGAAUAUCCAUGGCAACCAGCCAAGCACGCGGAGGCGUGAGCACUCGUCGCCUCGUCGGCAUCCUGGAGACGGUGGACAGGCCUGGUUCACGGACCAUGGGCCCCACACGUAAGUGUCACUCGAUUUAAGGCAUCGGAUGUAGUCACGUACUGUAUCUGUUAAUUAAUCUGCCACUAGGUACUAAAUUUUUUUUAACCCUUACUAACUUUUCAAUUCCUAUGUCACGUAUUCCUUUGUUCUAAACACCAAAUCAUGUUCUCUUCCUGUGUUUUUCCAAUCCUCUGUUUUGAUACUCCGUUACUUUUCUUUUCCUGUGUUUCCUUCGAUAAAUGCGUUUUCCAUUCUUCAUUCCCAACAGGCUCUUACGGUGCAAAUAGGUAGCAUUAGCAAUGUAGUAAACCAAAAGCAAAGUCCUGCCAUUCAUGUAGUUCGUGGCUCCCCAUGUAUCCAUUUUUUGGUGUUAUCCUGAAGUUGUGUCUACAAGCAGUACACACUAUCGAAAAAUGCUUUGAACUAUUGAGAAUUACAAUCUAGAAACUAAGGUCCACCAUAAUCACAUAUCCAAAUACUCCCUCUUUUAGAGCUGGACUCUACCACAAUGAUUUCUAAAUUAUAAGUCAUUUCAAUUUUCCUGGAGAGUCAAAAUAUCUCAAUUUUGAUCAAAAUUUAUAUAAUUUUAGUUAAAUAUAAAAUGAUUUGAGUCUCAUAAAAUUGGAAUGAUUUAUAAUUUGGAACGGAGGAAUAGUUAAAAUAUAAGACUAAAUAGAUAUGCAAGGAGAAUUGAAGGUACUCGAAUGUUGAUUUGUUGUGUUUCGCACUCAUACAUUUCUCAUUGCCCACAAAACUCGUUUCUUGCACUUGUACCUUAUUAAUUACUCCGGACCUGCUGUUCUUUUUAUGCGAACCUGAAGACUCUAUUCGGAACACACGAUUACUUUUAAUAGUUCAUACGAAUAUUGAAUUUUUUUUGUCUAAAAUUUAUCAAUCACGGACAAGUGUUGCAGUUUUUUUUGGAAAUGAGCUCAGAGUUUACCGUGUCAUAAUAUGCGGAAAAAUGGGAUUUAUUUUACGUUUUUUUAUAAGGAUGUCAUUGAGAUAGCAAUCAAUUGCAUGUUUGCUCUAGGCAAAUAAAGACAACAGAGUUCCGAGAUAAGUACACAGAAAGCACAGGAGAAGGGUGGGCAAAAAUAUUUUUUCCCAGAACAAAUCUUCUAUUUGUGGCCACACCACCGCACCGGCCACCAGGCCACCACUUCGCCUCGCCAUCGCCCACGGCUCCACCACUCCACGUCUCGGCUUUUUGCUUCCUUCCUCCCUCCUUCCCUCCAGCGCCUUGCAGCAGCAGCCUGCGCCCGGGCGCCGAAUCUCCGGACGAGAUCGCGUCCCCGCAUCCGACGCCGCCGGCGCCGGAGCCCACCUCGGCGAGCGCCGCGUUCUGCUACCGAUCUAGAGGUGCGCCCCCCCCUUGCCGAGAUUCGACGAGCUUUUCGCGGGAUUCGCGUGUCGCUUGAUGAACGGAGGACCAUUGGGGCUGGUUCGUUAGAUUCGGUUGUCUGGGAGGGAUCGGAGCCGGACCUGCAUUAUUGCGUGGUAAGGGCGGAUCGAUUCCGUUGUCCGUGUGAAUGCGCGCGGGUUCGCGGUGAUCUGCGCCUCGCGCUCGAGCUGUGCGGGGGGAAAUUUUGGUGUGUAUCAGUACUGCUGUAAUCUGGCUCGGGGGCACGGACUUCGGGUUAGCUAGAUUCCAUGGGUUUGGUCCUCUUUUGGAGCAAGCAUGUAGCGAUUACCCCGAGAUCGCCUGAUCUGAGCCCGGGAAUACUCAUGUGUGGGCGUCGUCACAUGGCCAUAGCUUACCAGUAGCUGCACCUGAUUCGCUAUUUCGGUUUGUCUGGGUGACACGGCCAUGCGAUUUUUCAUGAAUGCGUGGGCAUUAGUGUCCCCUAAGCUAUCGUAGCUUAUGGGCAUAGUGGUUGUUUUAGUGUUGGACUGUGUAGCCGCAUGGUGGUUUAGGUGUAAUUAGUUGCACUUGGAUUGCGUGAUUGCUUGCAGUGGAUUGAGCCCAUCCUGUUGUGAUGUGUCCGUGAUUUUUCGGGGUGCAGUCAGCAGAUCAAUGUGAGAAGUGAAAUUUUGGUCCACUAAUUCCAAGCCUGUCUUAUCACGUUUGGUAUGUUGCGGUAGUGUUCACAGUGGAACGGAAUCCUCAAACAGUACUUGUGCUAGGUUGUGGGAGAUGGAUUUGGAUCAGGUUAUUUUUUUGAUACUGGAUCAGGUUAUUUUUUUGAUACUGGAUCAUGUUAUUGUAAUGCUACUUUCUAUGCCUGUUCUUGAUAGUGCUUCAUGCAGAAAACUAAAUGGAGACAUCAGUCCUACCCAUAUAUAUAAGUUUAGUUUCACACCAUUAGAUAUUUCUGAAAAACAAAACAGUAAAUUUAGAUUUGGAGUAUCAAGUUAUAUUGAUUCUUUUCAAUCUUUGGGACUCUGAGAGUAGACACCGUCUGAUCUGGUACCAAUGGGCAUUUCUUGCAUACAACUAUCUCCAUGCAGAUGAUCAUGGUUUACAUUUCAUAUGAACGCAGACAUGAAACUUGUAGCCUUCUUUGGACAAUUUAUUUCAUGAAUGCCAGUUUUUUUUCAAUGAUUUCCCAUCCACUUUUUUGUGCAUAUAUGCUUCAUGUUACUUGCUCAAUAUCAAAAGUUUCAUUCUAUUGCCCUUGGUUUACACAGGAACAUUUGGAGAAGCUUUACUCAAUAAAUAAGCACUGGGAUUUCAUUCAUUCUGUCUUGGGUUUUACAAUAAUGUGGAGGCUCAAUCCCUUUGGGGGGAAAGCACAGAGUGGGUUGGAAGGUCGCACCGUUGAUGUUGGUAGUGUGAAGAUUACAGUACGAAAUGCCAUUGCACAAGGAGGUUUCUCUUGUGUAUAUCUGGCAUGUGACACAGUACAUCCAUCGAAGUUGUACGCAUUGAAGCACAUUAUUUGCAAUGAUUCAGAAUCACUUGAUCUUGUCAUGAAGGAAAUUCAGGUUAUGAACCUCCUCAAAGGGCAUCCCAAUGUGGUCACACUUGUUGCACAUGAUGUUUUUGAUAUGGGGCGCACAAAGGAGGCACUUCUUGUGAUGGAGUUCUGUGAGAAGUCCUUGGUGAGUGCAAUGGAGAGCAGAGGUAGUGGUUACUAUGAGGAGAAGAAGGUGCUUUUAAUUUUCAGAGAUGCCUGCAAUGCUGUUUUUGCCAUGCAUGGACAGUCACCACCAAUUGCACAUAGGUGCGUUGUAUUCUUUAUGCUGUUCUGUUUCAUUAUACAAUUAAGAUUUCUGAAAUUAAUUGCCAAUUACUGGUACGCUAGCAAAUUGAGUGUUGUAAUAUUGUUAUUUUCUUUCAUGUACCUUAUUUGUAUCCUGCUAUGCUAAUAUUCUGGGCUGGAUUAAAAUUUAUGUACCUUAUAGCAUAUUUGCAAACAGUUUUCCUUGUACCAGUGUGCUGUAUUAGGUGUAAGUGAGGGCUGAGGGGCUCGUUUGCUGUUGCUAAAGCAAGUUAUAAAGUUAUAAUUAUGAAUAAGCUAUUCACAUAUGUCUUAUUACACUUUAUUGCCAUGUUGUUUAGGGAUCUGAAAGCUGAAAAUGUUCUUCUUGGUUUUGACGGUGCAUGGAAAAUAUGUGAUUUUGGAAGCACAUCAACAAAUCAUAAAUGCUUUAACAAAUCAGAAGAGAUGGGUGUUGAGGAAGAUAUCAUCAGGAAACAUACAACCCCAGCCUACAGGGCCCCUGAGGUAAAUGAACAGCUAUCUACAUGAUGGAUUUUAAAUUAACAAACCUUUGCAACCUCUAAUGAUGCCAUGAUGGGUUUUCAGAUGUGGGAUCUCUACAGAAGAGAAGUUAUUAGCGAGAAAGUCGAUAUUUGGGUAAGUGCAAAGCAUAUGAACAUGUGGUCUUUAGGAUGCAUAUUUUCAAAUAGUAAGCAAAUCAAUGGCAUAUCAUGUGCUAUGUUCUUACUUUAAUUAUCAGAGACAGGCAAAUUAACUUCAUAAAAAUUUUAAAUGCAUCUUUUUUUAUGCUAACAUUAAUCAUUGGGCCAUUUGUCUUGCACCUCCUGCAUAGCAUGGCUAAGGGUAAAGUUAUUUGUAACUUUCUUAUUUACCAUUGGCAGGCCUUGGGGUGCCUUUUAUAUAGAAUAUGCUACUUCAAGUCAGCGUUUGAUGGAGAAUCCAAGUUGCAGAUACUCAAUGGCAAUUAUCGUAUCCCGGAGCAACCCAAGUAUAGCACUGCUGUCACAGGGUUGAUCAAAGAUAUGCUGGAAGCCUCUCCAAAUGUCAGGCCAGACAUCACGCAGGCAAGAGCUUUGAUUGAUUGGCCAUUCAUCUCCAUGAUACUAGGUUAGUCAUAGACUGUUGCAUGUAGCUCUAGGAAUCAGACAAAUAGUUUUAUUUGGCUUAUGUUAUAAACUAUAUACUUCACAGGUCUGGUUUCGUGUUAAUGAGCUACUGCCGCUUGAGUUACAGAAAAGGUUACCUGAUGGUCCUUCAUCAGCCAUUUCCAUGAGUUUGCAAGAUGAAGGUGAGGUGCUAGAAGAAAUUGUCUGUACAAGUAGAACAUAAUUUAUUGAUCAUGUGUUGUUGCCAUUGAUUUGCAGUACUUCCUAAAGAAUUUGUAGUUAGUAUGGGGGAAAAUCUUAAUUUUGUUUGCUUGUUUGAUAACUCAUGUAUUUCAAAAGGACCCCUUGAGGACAGAAAGUUAGCAUGUGUCUGGAUUUGGGGAUUGGAGAGGGGACGAGAGAUAUACAGGGGGUCGCCAUGGACAGGCACGAAGAAGGCUUUUCCUUCUUAAUUCUCACUUACCCUUUAUUGAUGAUCCACAACAGCCAUGCACCUAGAUUGAAUGUAACCUAAUAGGUCGAAACUAACCCCUAGCUUAUCUCUAAUUGACUAAGUUAAGUGGUAAGAAACUAGUUAUGUUACGGAUGUGGACCUGCUGAUAAGAUAUUGUAGGCCCUAUGGAUUCAUGCAUAACGGUUUGCAUAACUCCUUGUGUAUAUAUUUUGGCAUUAUUCCGUUAAGUCAGGAUACAAAUCAUUUUGUGAAGCUAAAGCCAGUCAGAGUGACUUGAAGAACUUGGCUGUAGGGAUUUUGAUUCAAGCAAAGCAGGAUUUGCAUUUCUUCAACGAAUAGCCCUUUUGUGUCCUCAACUCAUUUUUGUGGGAACUGCCUUUUUAUUUGGGAUAACCUAACAUGAUCUAGUGACCUAAAUACCUAAUUACUACAACACGAAUUUAAUAUACCAAUAUAAAUUGGUGCAGGUUCGAUAGAUAAUUCCGGUAGGGUUGGAUGCCAGACUUUAUAAUCCAUUUUCCUGCGCUAGUGAGCUCUGACAAGAAUUUUACGUGUACAUGGGUUAUUUGGCUACGUUAUUAUCCUAUUUAAGUAUUUGUUAUUUCUGUGUCCUGGCCUCUGACUUGGGUAAUUACUACAUGUACUCUAAUCCCCUCUUAGACAAUCUUAUUUUGGAUGUUGUAUGCCCCUCUUUUUCAAAAUGUAAGGCAUUGCUUGAUCCGGUGUGGUUUCCAAGACUACACUUUAACCAUUAAUAGUAUAUCAUACAUUAAUAGUAUAUCAUACUUUACUAUUUUAGCCUGACUGUAUGUCCUUUAUGUUUUCUGCAAGAAGGAAAGUGUGGUUAAUGGACAAGGUCACUGUACUAGUUUACUGUUGUAUUUUUGGACAUGACUGGCCAGUGGCCAAGUGAUAGUUAUUUGCCGAUAAUCUAUUUUGCUUGUGUAGGUGCACAUAAAAGAACACAUGUGAUGCCUAGAAGGAAUCCUCCUCCGCCUCCAAGAGAGCAAUCUAAUAGUUCUUUAUCGCACGGAAGCUCAAGGGCAGGAGAUGCACCUUUAGGUGCAUUUUGGGCAACUCAGCAUGCACAAGGUGCGGAUAAUAGGAAACCUUUGUUUGACGAGGAGCCAAUUAAACCAUCACUGUCAUCAAAGCAGAACCAAAGCAGGGUGGACACCAGCAUCUCUAUCCCUGGGGAUAGGCAUGGUCAUUCUGGCCAGUCGUCACGAACAAGUAAAGCACCAAGUAACUCCUUGCCUAAUAAUGGAUUUGCAGGUGUCUCUGACACAAAUUUGUUCAAGGAGACACAAAGUUCUGUGAAAGUUAAAGCAAACCAAGCUCAGCCCAAGCCAAAAUGUGAGAAAGAUCCAUUCAACAGCUUUGUUGCAGAUUUUGACACACACAAUCUCAACAUUGCUGCUGGUAAGGCAUCUGAACUUGAACUCGAAUUGUCCAGUCUGAAGGAGCAGUUGAAGAAAACCACAUUGGAGAAGGACGAGAUGACAGCCAAGUAUGAAAAGCUAUCUGCAAUAUGCCGAUCACAGCGUCAGGAGCUCCAAGAACUGAAGCGCGCCCUUGCUGAGACAACACCUCCGUCAAACAAAGUCAGCUCUAGAACACAAGACUCUGGACCUCAGGUGAUUGCUCUACAUACAACUGUCUAGUACAACAUAUUUUUUAGUCCUGUCUAAGCAUCUUACGUUGAGAUUAAUCCAUGCAGCGAAAGGAAAAGAUUGAAGGAACGGUGUGGGAGCUUGAACAUGGAAUGCUUGCAAGCAACUCUAAAUCAGCCAGUUCUGAUGCCAAAACAUGGCAGGUGUUCCCUGAGACAAAGACCCAGGCCCAGGCCCGGCCAAAGGUUGAUCAUGCAACUAAUGGGAGGCAAAACCUAACCAAGAGCACAAACCCAGGUCCUUCGCCCGAUGCCUGGGGUUUUGGCACCGAUAAUUACAGAACGUCAGCAGCAGCAGCAAGCACUGCUACGCAGAUCAACAGGACCACUGCUCAAGGCAGCUCAUCCCAGAGAUUCAGCACUGGUGUGGCGAAGAAAGUAGAGCAACCAUCUGGAUGGGCUGGUUUUUAACAUAACAGCAACAUGCCGUAACCAUCAUUCUUGUUCGGAAUUUGCAAAAGUGCCCUACGCUUCUGCUCCUGCGCGUGCGGAUGGAUGAGGCAAGGCAAGCUGGUUAUCUUUCCUGCAAAAGGAGGUCGAAAUUGGUUAUCUUGAGUGUGUUCAUCGUUGGUUGAGCCAACUUAGACAUUGAUUCAUGUGAUCGUUUGACAUCAACCUGUUAAUAAGUAAAUAUUUACGGUGCUGUACGUAUUUCCUGUAUGCAGUAUGACCAUGUGAUGACUCACUGCUAUAGCAGCAUCAAUGGCAAGGUAUACCGCUUCAUGUGCUACUCUUUUUUUUGCCUCUUUCGAGAUGAAACUGGAGAGCAAGUGAGCAACAGUCAUAUCUUACGUUUUCAACGAGGGAAAGCUGCAAUCAUUUCACAAAAAUAUGAUAACAAAAGUCCUUUUUAAUGGCUUUUCAAAUAUGUAUGAAAACUUCAAAGAUUAUUUGGUGGAAUGUGGCGGUAAGUAAAGGGCGCUUUUGGUUAGUUACUCUUCUAACCUUUUUUUUUUACCAAGGUAACUAACCUUAGUAGUCAUGCUUUUGUUUAAAAAACACCUAUGUAAGCUUAGAUAAGGAUAAGAAAGUGAUAGGCUAAGAUCUAGUUUAUUUUAGCUAGGGAUUCCAAAACGCAAUACAUAGAUUAUACAUUGUGGAAUGCUAGUAGCUAUUACCUCUGUUUGUUCUCGUUUUAGAUUUUCUAGAUUCAUAAUUUUGUUAUGCAUGUAGACAUAUGGUGCAUAGAAAAAUCAUGUAUCUAAAAAGUCAAAAUAGAUCUAUAAUUUAAGAUGGAAGGAGUAUCCGGCAACAUGGAUCCUAUCUUGUCAUAUUUCUACUUAUACAUUGGGCACAAUGACAUAGUUGACAAAUAAGCAUGUGCAUGUCACACUUUGGCGGAAGAUGGAUGGUGUGAUAGAUUAUGGAAUCUGACAAAAAGGAUAUCUGUUUGUUUUCACUAAGACUUAUUAAGAUGUUUUUCAUAUCACUAAUCUUAGAUUCUCCUUUAUGGCAGCGAUCAAACACUAGCUAUAAAAAACUGCGACUGAACUUGGGAAACGUGUGCUAGUACUAGUAAUUUCAAAGCACACAAGAGACAGCCGGUUGCAGGCAAGGUGCCGUCGAGGCACUUGAUUCAUUUUUUAAAAAAAACUGGCCGAAGACGGUCACGCAACUGUAUGGGCUACGCAGGAGGCCGGCCGGCCGGCCGGCCCACAUAAGUUGUUGUUUAAAUGCCACGGAGCAGCAACAAACGCCUCGCCCCUCCUGCCGCCAGGGACUUCCUCCCAGAUUAGUACCAUACCGCUUACAAGACGACGCACCAACCAGCUUAAAUAUUAGCCUGGCAGCGCCCGCGUCAGCCAAGCACGGUAGCGCGUGCCUGUCACUCCAGCUUCAGGAGGGCUAAAGAGUGGGUGGGGAAGGGAUGUGUGCGUUCGAGCCCAUGUCAGAGUCAGCCCGCCGAAAGGCAUGUGGUGCCCGGCCCACCAGAGACGCCAGACGAAGCGCGGCGCAGAAGACCAGCUGUUGAUGAGAUCCUGGCCCGUCCAAGUUGGCCAAGUUGCGGUAGUUUGGGUGCAGGCGCUGAGCCAGUGGUGCCAGGCUUGUGACCCGUUGAGGAGGCCCGUUAGAGAAUGGGCGCUCGUUGGACCGUUGACCUGUGAGGAGGGCAGGCCGGUCGUUGACGCACUUGGGCCGGUGAGGAGGGCAGGCCACCAGAGACUGGUGAAAGCAGUAAUGUUGGCGCGCGCUAGUCGGGCCUUAGCCGAGGAGAUUGCCGGCGGGCCGUUGUUGUGGUCGAGGUGCACAUGUGGACUCUCUGUGGGGUGUUGAUGGGCUGUCGAUUAGGGGGCAGGCUUCGGCCCCGGUAGGCCGGCAGACCCGCCGGCGGGCAAUUUAGGUUGUGGGGUCCGCCCCCAGCCUGGAGCCCGUAUACGCCGCGCGGGGCUUCCACGGAGUCGGGCGGGGCAAGUUGCUGCGCAUUCGAUGCGCGCUUGGUCGUUGUCGCCGCCGGGCUGUGCGCGCACACGCGCAGCCCGCUUCGUGGAGCAUUGGCUUGCAUACUAUCCCCUCCUACCCACUCUUUUGUUUUUUAUUUUUUUCCUUUUAAUGUGUCCGCAAAUUUUUAUUUUUUAUUUUUGUUGCACUGAACGAUGCAAGCAAACAUCGUGCACGAAUCUUAAUUUUACACACGGUGCAAUAUGUAGGUGGGGGGGAAAACGGAGUUUGGUGGUGGCUUGCGCGUGGACCGUGGGAGACUCAAGCCACUAUGGAUUUGGCUUUGAACUCAACUCGGGUGUCUUCAAAUGGAUAGGAGAGUUAUUUACAGCAUGCUUACUGCAGGUCUCUCUGAUCAAGGGCCACGCUCGCCAGUUUCCUUGCCAGGGAGUUAUUUACGCUGAUCCCUCUAUAUGUCAGUUUGGCGUCAAAGACGAAAGAAAAAACAUAAGGGCUGGACGGUAACUUUCUCGGAUUUGGCCCAUGUAAGAUUUAUGCGUGCUCCGCGGCCUGGAAAACUAAAAGGCCCAUAUACAUGUAGCCCGUUAGAUGCCAAUGGGCUCGGACUGAACGUUCAAAGGCCAGAAGCCCGUCCGAGAUAGUAGGUAAGCCUGCUUCGCGCGGUUGCGGGAAAGCCUCGUCUGCUGUGCGCAGGGGCAGCAUUGUGCUACGCUGCCGACGUUCGUCUCGACUCUCGAUCUCUCGUCAUCCUUCAGGCUACCCGAUCAUGAUCGGCUGGUGAUUACUGAAUUAUUUUCUAAAUCCGAAUUGCAUGAGAAAGUAAAACUCGCACUAGUACAUACUAUCGUCUAAAAGGAAAAAGUAAAAAUAGUACAACAAGGGGGCCUAGUGACACAUAAGAUGAACCAGACAGUGAACCAGCAGCCAGGUGCGAAGUGUAGGAGGACAACGCUUACAUGUAAACAGCGGCAUGCAGAAGAGGGCAGAGAAGAUAAGCACUCACACGAAAAGAGGUCCGGUCAGUGCUCAACAAACGACGCUCCCCAUUUAGUCCCGUACUGCUAAUCACAGCCAGGACGAGCCAGCUUAAAAGGGCACGCAUCCCGAGCUGCAACCGCCAGGCCCGGUGGCGCGAGCCUGUUACUCCAGCCUCGGAGGGCAAAAGAGUAUGAUGCAGCGACAAGACUCACGGCCCAGCUAUCGGUCUUGGGUUUCUGGGUUGUGAGCUCGAGCCUUAGCUCAAAGCCGUGGAGUUGUCUGACCAGGGGCCCAUUUAAAUUGAGACGCGGCUUUGGCCCGGGGAGCUCGCCCAUAAAGCGAUGGGCUGGCUGAGAUUUCACUCGGCGGUCAUUGUCGACUAUCUCCCCGGGUUUCCAUACGGUGCUCACGGGAUAUUUAAUCCUUGAUUUUAGGCCCCAUGAUGAUGAUUAUGUGUGGCUAAGGUUUAAUGGGGGCCUCCGUAUGGUUGCUAUGGUUCGCUCAUAAACCCCUCUCAUCAACUCUUUUCCUUUUUUUAUGAUCCAUUCAUCCAUCCAGAUUUAGGGGGUGUUUGGAUCUUUAGUCGUGACUGAAUUCUUUUUUUAUGAUACAUUCCUUCAUCCAGAUUUAGGGGGUAUUUGGAUCUUUAGUCGUGACUAAAAUUCAUGUCACAUCGAAUAUUCGAAGGCUAACUAGGAGGACUAAACAUGAGCUAAUUAUAAAACUAAUUAUAUAGAUGGAGGCUAAUUCACGAGACGAAUCUAUUAAGCCUAAUUAAUCCAUCAUUAGCACAUGUUUACUGUAGCAUCACAUUAUCAAAUCAUGAACUAAUUAGGCUUAAUAGCUUCAUCUCGCAAAUUAGUCUCUAUCUGUGCAAUUAGUUUUGUAAUUAGCCUAUAUUUAAUACUCCUAAUUAAUAUCUAAACAUUCGAUGCAACAGGAAUUUUAGAAGGUGCUAAAGAAACAAACACCCCCUUAGGAUGAUCUCGCCACAGGUAUAUAACAAGUAAUUACCGUAUGUGCAUGCGUGUGUAACCUGCAGCUGCCGGGAGGUGAUUAGGUCCACGAUCAUGCGGCUCGGGAGAGAAGGAAGAACUUCAGCGCAAAAAAGAAAAGUUUGGUAAGGGUAUUUUGCGCGUGGAGAAACUCUAGAACUAGGCUUCGGCUAAUGUGUUACAUUAGCAACGACCGCUAAGGGAGAGGGAAGAUGUCAUAUUUUCUCGCUGUCAGGAGCUCCACAACACACUGAACACUAGCUCCCCAAGCUCUGCCCUUUGGAGAUGGAGUCAUAGGGCGAGUUCCUUUUGACAGGGAGUGAGUGUUUAUGUUGGUCCUUCUGCAGUUUACUUAUCAGUUUGGCAUCAAACUAUUAAAGACUAUGUGGAUAAGGGAAACCCAGUAAACUUUCUUAGGCUUGUCUCGUUGCGCGUUCUUCGGCCCGUAAAACUCAUAAAAAAACCUGUGUAGAUAGCUCAUUACGUGCAAUAGGUUCGAAUUGGGAGGAAUUGUACGUGGGAUCUGAGCCAUGCGCGCUCGUGCUCAUCAGUCAUCAGCAAGUCGUCGUCGUCGUCGCCACCGCCACUGCAUCGCAAGACUUCUCAGGCGUGGUUUUGUUGCAACCUUGCCGGAAAAACCUGGUUGCCUUUCUCAUGGGUCAUGGUAGUGGUGGGUACGUGUUCGUUCCUUUGUUACCCCCAACUGCAUGCAUGACCAAGUAGAAAACCACUAUUUUCUCAAAGAGGCCACCGUCUGAUAUACUACUGAACAUCGCCAUGACAGUGGCGACCGGUCACGCUUUACAGCACGCACAAAGACCUGGCGCAAACAAGAAAAGCGAGCGCAUGCAACUAAAUCCAGCUCCACUCACCCUGCAAGCCAAGUGCUCCUUUUAGUCCCAUACUGCUAAUCACUCUCAGAACAACUCGGCUUAAAGGGACACGCCUCGAGUCUACAAACGCCGGGUGCGGUCGCGCGGGCCUGUUACUCCAGUCAGCCGGAGGGCAAAAGAGUUGGUGUUGCGACAUGGUUUUGGCCCAACGGGCCGUCACCUGGGUUGUGAGUUGAGCCCUGGAUUCGGGAACGCAGCUCGUCUCGUAGACGAUGGCAGGCCGAACUCUCAAGCACCUUGUCAUUCGGGCCCGUCCCAAGCCAAGCACUUGUCGUUCGGCCGUUACAGGUUGGGUCGGAGGGAAACCUCCCCUAUCUGAGCCCAGUUUGGCGUCCCUUCCCGGUUUCCAUUCGCGCGGUCACGGGAGGCCGUAGUCCUCCCCUGAUCUUCCCAUUACGGUAAUCGGGGCUCGUAUGGUUGCCAGAGCUCGCUCACUAACCACUCUCACCAACCCUUUUUUCUCUUCUAACUUUCACUUUAAUGAAUAGCUCCAGCAAAUCA
rnacentral:lncRNA from 1 species